GGCGAAGUCACUGAACAUAGGAGCUGCAAUUAAAUACAUCUGGAGAAUAUAACUGCAUGAAAACUCUGGAAUGGGCAUUUGAUGGAGCGUAACAUUGCCUAUGAUGGAUACAUAUGCAUGUCAAGAUCACUGAGAUCCAACCUAAAAUUCAAAGGACAAUUCUUCAGGAAAUGGCAAACAGAAAGUAAACAUUGCUCCCUACUAAAAGAC
rnacentral:lncRNA from 1 species